rnacentral:rRNA from 1 species
UACGUAGGGACCAAGCGUUGUUCGGAUUUACUGGGCGUAAAGGGCGCGUAGGCGGCGCGGUAAGUCACUUGUGAAAUCUCCGAGCUUAACUCGGAACGGUCAAUUGAUACUGCUGUGCUAGAGUACAGAAGGGGCAAUCGGAAUUCUUGGUGUAGCGGUGAAAUGCGUAGAUAUCAAGAGGAACACCUGAGGUGAAGACGGGUUGCUGGGCUGAUACUGACGCUGAUGCGCGAAAGCUAGGGUAGCAAACGGG